rnacentral:rRNA from 1 species
CGGCAACAGCUCAAAUUUGAAAUCUGGCUCUUUUAGAGUCCGAGUUGUAAUUUGUAGAAGAUGCUUCGAGUGUGGUGCCGGUCUAAGUUCCUUGGAACAGGACGUCAUAGAGGGUGAGAAUCCCGUAUGUG